CCACACCUUUCCUAACAUUUGAAAACCGCAUACCCUUCCCUCCUCCUCCUUGCUAUUUCUCUUCUUCUCUUCUUUCUCUCUCUUUCCCUUGCGCCGUCUGUGAGCUGCUGUGCCGCCACCAGCAACCGGCCAGCCUGCUGCCACGACCUCCACCAGAAGGCCGGUUUCUUUUCCUUCCCCCCACGACAGCAAGCAGCUGCUGUGUUUUUUCCCCUGACCGGCAGCAACAGCUAUUUUUUGGCCCCACCAUCACCGUGCUCCAUCUACACCACCACCACAACAACCACCUAUAGUUUCACCCUUUUCUAGUCUCACCUUUGUGCCCAUUUCAUUAGAGGAAGGUAGAACUUUAGUUGAGUGAUUUUUAUGACUUGUGGUCGUGCAGUGACGCUUACAGGUACGUACACGCAGUAAUUAACUAUCAUAUUCAUUGUUUUAAAGUAUUAUCGAUAUUUUGUGAUUAUAUGCACUGUAUUAGAAUUAUAGAGCGCCAGAAAGUCAACUAUGCCAUCGAAAAGUCCUAAUAGUGGUAUAGACAAGUAGAUAGAAAUCAUUAGUGAAAUAUGAGAACAAAUUCCUCAAUAGUAGAGAACGAAUUAUGAUUUUGUGUGGUAUCGAAAUGAUUCCCUUUUUACUGAGCCUUGAUUAUGAUUAGUCGGCGUUACUCAACUGGAUUUAUGUCUAAUUGAUUUAGUAGUCUCCUAACUGAGAUUCGAUGGGAUCAUUUUACGGGGGGUAUGAGCAUAAUUUUGUCAUUGGAUGCCGGGUGGACAAUAUCGCCUCUUGACCGAGGUGUUACCAUGCGGGUCUUGCAAACUCCAAUAUGGUGGCCUCUUCACUGGAUUGGUACCUCAGUGUGUUAAAGUUUCCCGAAGGUAGAACCCGAGAGGGUCAGCUGGAGGGGGUAUGAGCUCAUACUUUGUCAUGGGCGUAGGUUGGCCAAUAAUGCCCUUGGCCUUGUCACUAUGCCAUGAAGUAGAGAAAAAAUCCACUACUUGUGAACAUUCUUCGAGGGAUUAGAAGUUUUGAAAUAGAAUUUGUAGAGUAAACGUGAAGUGGUUAAAUAGAUAAGUAGAAUCUUUAUUGUCGUGCCUUGUUAGGAUUAUAUCCUUUUGUUCUAUGACUCUAAUUAUUAUAAGUUCAUUGAUUACUAACAUGUACAUUUUGUUCUUGUUGUUUCACCAUGACUUUCUAUGAUGUUUCUGCUAUGAUAUGUUUGACUAUGGUCAUUAUGUUUAGCAGCAGGAGGAUCAUAGUUUGGCAUAACAAGUAUUCUUUUGCAUUGCAUUGGGGAAAGAAUGGAGUACGAUCGUAGCAAUUGUUAUACAAGUAGCCUAAUGCUUUGUAGUUUUUAUAUUACUUUUAAAGUUUUUGAGUUGUAUAAUUCUUUUGUAUGGAGUCACGUGACUUCUUGUUUGAUUCAUAGUUCCGCUGUGUAGUUUUUUUGGAUGUAUGGUUGUAAGAAUACUUUUUUUGUAGCUGUCAAAAACCAAUGCAUUAACACUGGAACCACGAUCCGUGUUGGAGUUGAUGAUUUGAAGAGCCGACGAUGAUUCA